rnacentral:rRNA from 1 species
GCCCAGACUCCUACGGGAGGCAGCAGUGGGGAAUAUUGCACAAUGGGCGCAAGCCUGAUGCAGCGACGCCGCGUGGGGGAUGAAGGCCUUCGGGUUGUAAACUCCUUUCGCUAUCGACGAAGCCACUUGUGGUGACGGUAGGUAGAUAAGAAGCACCGGCUAACUACGUGCCAGCAGCCGCGGUAAUACGUAGGGUGCAAGCGUUGUCCGGAAUUACUGGGCGUAAAGAGCUCGUAGGUGGUUUGUCGCGUCGUCUGUGAAAUCCCGGGGCUUAACUUCGGGCGUGCAGGCGAUACGGGCAUAACUUGAGUGCUGUAGGGGAGACUGGAAUUCCUGGUGUAGCGGUGAAAUGCGCAGAUAUCAGGAGGAACACCGAUGGCGAAGGCAGGUCUCUGGGCAGUAACUGACGCUGAGGAGCGAAAGCAUGGGUAGCGAACAGGAUUAGAUACCCUGGUAGUCCAUGCCGUAAACGGUGGGCGCUAGGUGUAGGGGGCUUCCACGUCUUCUGUGCCGUAGCUAACGCAUUAAGCGCCCCGCCUGGGGAGUACGGCCGCAAGGCUAAAACUCAAAGGAAUUGACGGGGGCCCGCACAAGCGGCGGAGCAUGUGGAUUAAUUCGAUGCAACGCGAAGAAUCUUACCUGGGCUUGACAUGUACCGGAUCGGGCUAGAGAUAGUCUUUCCCUUGUGGUCGGUAUACAGGUGGUGCAUGGUUGUCGUCAGCUCGUGUCGUGAGAUGUUGGGUUAAGUCCCGCAACGAGCGCAACCCUUGUCUUAUGUUGCCAGCACGUUAUGGUGGGAACUCAUGAGAGACUGCCGGGGUUAACUCGGAGGAAGGUGGGGAUGACGUCAAAUCAUCAUGCCCCUUAUGUCCAGGGCUUCACACAUGCUACAAUGGUCGAUACAAUGGGCAGCGACAUCGUGAGGUGAAGCGAAUCCCUGAAAGUCGGCCUUAGUUCGGAUUGGGGUCUGCAACUCGACCCCAUGAA